CCUACGGGUGGCAGCAGUGAGGAAUAUUGGUCAAUGGUCGGGAGACUGAACCAGCCAAGCCGCGUGAGGGAGGAAGGUACAGAGUAUCGUAAACCUCUUUUGUCAGGGAACAAAGGCGGGGACGUGUCCCCGGAUGAGUGUACCUGAAGAAAAAGCAUCGGCUAACUCCGUGCCAGCAGCCGCGGUAAUACGGAGGAUGCGAGCGUUAUCCGGAUUUAUUGGGUUAAAAGGGUGCGCAGGCGGUCUGUUAAGUCAGCGGUCAAAGCCCGGGGCUAAACCCCGGCCCGCCGUUGAAACUGUAUAGCUUGAGUACUGGAGAGGCAGGCGGAAUUCCUAGUGUAGCGGUGAAAUGCGUAGAUAUUAGGAGGAACACCAGUGGCGAAGGCGGCCUGCUGGACAGAAACUGACGUUGAGGCUCGAAAGCGUGGGGAGCAAACAGGAUUAGAUACCCCUGUAGUC
rnacentral:rRNA from 1 species